rnacentral:rRNA from 1 species
UACGAAGGGGGCUAGCGUUGUUCGGAAUCACUGGGCGUAAAGGCGCGUAGGCGGCCGAUCAAGUCGGGGGUGAAAGCCUGUGGCUCAACCACAGAAUUGCCUUCGAUACUGUUUGGCUUGAGACCGGAAGAGGUUAGUGGAACUGCGAGUGUAGAGGUGAAAUUCGUAGAUAUUCGCAAGAACACCAGUGGCGAAGGCGGCUGACUGGUCCGGUUCUGACGCUGAGGCGCGAAAAGCGUGGGGGAGCAAAACAGG